rnacentral:rRNA from 1 species
AUACGGAGGGGGUUAGCGUUGUUCGGAAUUACUGGGCGUAAAGCGCACGUAGGCGGAUUGGAAAGUUGGGGGUGAAAUCCCAGGGCUCAACCCUGGAACUGCCUCCAAAACUAACAGACUAGAGUACGAGAGAGGGAGGUAGAAUUCCAUGUGUAGCGGUGAAAUGCGUAGAUAUGUGGAGGAAUACCAGUGGCGAAGGCGGCCUCCUGGCUCGAUACUGACGCUGAGGUGCGAAAGCGUGGGGAGCAAACAGGAUUAGAAACCCCGGUAGUCC